GAUGAACGCUGGCUACAGGCUUAACACAUGCCAGUCGAGGGGAAACGACGGGGAAGCUUGCUUCCCCGGGCGUCGACCGGCGCACGGGUGAGUAACGCGUAUCCAACCUGCCUCUGACUGAGGGAUAACCCGUCGAAAGUCGGCCUAAUACCUCAUGGCAUCGUCUGCGGGCAUCCAACGACGAUUAAAGAUUUCAUCGGUCAGGGAUGGGGAUGCGUCUGAUUAGCUUGUUGGCGGGGUAACGGCCCACCAAGGCUACGAUCAGUAGGGGUUCUGAGAGGAAGGUCCCCCACAGUGGAACUGAGACACGGUCCAAACGCCUACGGGAGGCAGCAGGGAGGAAUAUUGGUCAAUGGGCGGGAGCCUGAACAAGCCAAGUAGCGUGCAGGAGGACGGCCCUAUGGGUUGUAAACUGCUUUUAUGCGGGGAUAAAGUGAGGGACGUGCCCUCCAUUGCAGGUACCGCAUGAAUAAGGACCGGCUAAUUCCGUG
rnacentral:rRNA from 1 species